rnacentral:rRNA from 1 species
AUUGAACGCUGGCGGCAGGCCUAACACAUGCAAGUCGAACGAGUGGCGGACGGGUGAGUAAUGUCUGGGAAACUGCCUGAUGGAGGGGGAUAACUACUGGAAAAGGUAACUAAUACCGCAUACCAUCAGAUGUGCCCAGCUGGGAUUAGCUAGUUGGUGGGGUAACGGCUCACGAAGGCGACGAUCCCGAGCUGGUCUGAGAGGAGGACCAGCCACACUGGAACUGAGACACGGUCCAGACGCCUACGGUAGGCAGCAGUGUGGAAUAUUGCACAAUGGGCGCAAGCCUGAUGCAGCCAUGCCGCGUGUAUGAAGAAGGCCUUCGGGUUGUAAAGUACUUUCAGCGGGGAGGCGUUACCCGCAGAAGAAGCACCGGCUAACGCCGUGCCAGCCGCCGCGGUAAUAC